rnacentral:rRNA from 1 species
AGUGAACGCUGGCGGUAGGCCUAACACAUGCCAGUCGAACGGCAGCACAGUAAGAGCUUGCUCUUACGGGUGGCGAGUGGCGGACGGGUGAGGAAUACAUCGGAAUCUACUUUUUCGUGGGGGAUAACGUAGGGAAACUUACGCUAAUACCGCAUACGACCUACGGGUGAAAGCAGGGGAUCUUCGGACCUUGCGCGAUUGAAUGAGCCGAUGUCGGAUUAGCUAGUUGGCGGGGUAAAGGCCCACCAAGGCGACGAUCCGUAGCUGGUCUGAGAGGAUGAUCAGCCACACUGGAACUGAGACACGGUCCAGACUCCUACGGGAGGCAGCAGUGGGGAAUAUUGGACAAUGGGCGCAAGCCUGUUCCAGCCAUACCGCGUGGGUGAAGAAGGCCUUCGGGUUGUAAAGCCCUUUUGUUGGGAAAGAAAAGCAGCAGGUUAAUACCCCGCUGUUCUGACGGUACCCAAAGAAUAAGCACCGGCUAACUUCGUG